rnacentral:lncRNA from 10 species
CCAUUGGAAAAAUGUAGUACCUAGGGCGGGUCCAUAGUCCUUCACUGCUUCCCUUGGAUAGGGGAGGGAGGUCCCUCGGCUCAUUGUACUUCCUGGAUGAAGCAAUGCCCCACCCUGCUUCUGCUAGCUCACUGUGGGUUGCACCCACCGCCUAACCAGUUCCAUUGAGAUGAACUGGGUAUGUCAGUUGGAAAUGCAGAAACCACCCACCUUCUCUGUUGGUCUCGCUGGGUGCUGCAAACCAGAGCCGUUUCUAUUCAGCCAUCUUGGCCCUUCCUCCCAUCUGUAUAUCUUAAUUUUACCUUUCUUUUUGAAAGCUAACUUGGGAGAAUAUAGAAUUCUAGGCAAAAUUGUUGAGCCAAGGUCCUGGAACUGUGAGUAAGAAAAUGACAAACCCAUCUCUCAGUGGCACCCCUACUGCAGGAGUUGAGCACUCAUUAGAGAAGAGCAGCAGGAAAUGGACCUGAAUAUCCUCUUAGCAGCCAUGACUGGAUGCCAAAUGGGACAAAGAAGAACUUUGAAUAUGACAUCACACUACCUCCUGCACUGUGGUUCCUGAUAAGAAAUCAGCCAUUCAUCUUACUGAGACUCCUUGAUUGGUGCCCUCAUAAGAAGAGAAAGACACACCAAAGCACUUCCUUUGAUGUGAAGAUACAGUGAUAAGGUAGCACUUUCCAGGAUCUUACUGUUACCCAGGAUGAAGUACUGUGGCAUGAUCACAGCUCCCUGAAGCCUCAACCUCUCCAAGCUCAGGUGAUUUCUUCCACCUCAGCCUCCAAAGUAGCUGGGACUACAGGCAUGCGCCACUACACCCAGCUAAUUUUUUUGUGUGUUUUGGAGAGAUAGGGUUUCAUCAUGUUGCCCAGGCUGGUCUGAAACUCCUGGACUCAAGCAAUCUACCCACCUGGGCCUCCCAAAGUGCUAGGAUUACAGGCAUGAGCCACUACGCCCAGCAAGGUAAUGAUUAAACUAAAAGUAAUUGAAAUAUUGGCAUCUUGAUUUAUAUAAUAUGUAUUUAUCAGUUUUUCUAUUAUAAGAGGACAAAUAAGACAGAAAGUUGGUAGUCAAGUCAGUCAAAACAAGACAGUGUCUAAUUUGAGAUUAUAAACAUUAUAAUGCAUGAGAAAAACCAAACGCACUUCACAUUAAAGGUAUUUUUUAUGCAUUCACACUGGCGAGCAUCGAAGUUUACCUUUAUUGACACAUAAAAAGUUAUUGUAGAUUGUUAUGACACAUUAUUUCUUGCUGCCUUUUUUAUCUUAAUGACUUUCGCAAAACAAUGUGAUAUAAAUUGCUACUAGCAUAAAACACAUUCCAGCAAUAGAUAAAAACAGUUUCUUGGCUGCAAGAAGCAUAUAUUUCAACACCUGCUUCAGGCACAAUACAUUGAAAUUUAUGCCCUCUACUGUUAUUUGAGUAAUGCUCUUUCUGUUGUUUCUCACUGGGGAACUACAAUACUAAUAUCUUAAUUUUUCAGACAUCAAUAUUAGUUUAAUGAGUGAGACAUAAUUGCAAAACUUGCUAAUAAGGUACAAACCAAAAAGUCUUUAAAAAAAUUGCAAAAUCAGCAACUUGAAAGAGUUUUCGAACUUUAAAAUUGAUAAAUCAUACUCUGUUUAAAAUUAAAGUCAAUAAAAAGAGUAUUUUUUCCGUAUCAGUUGAUUUUCUAUAGGCUUAACGCCUAUACUGCACUAUAAAUUCACUCAAUAAAGGUCUUUUCUAAAAAAAAUUUUUAUAAAAUAAAAUAACCUGUACACACUAUGUUUUAUUAAUUAAAAAUAUUAAGAGAUAAUUUUAAAUGCCAUCUUACACUAAUUUCUGGAACUAUAAAGAGAAAUAUUUCACCAUCAUAGACCUCAAAGGCAGUCUUUACAGGAUUCAGACAAUACGUCCAACAUAGGAAGUGUUAUGGGUAAGGUGAGAGGGCUCUGGGGGGUAUUAGUUAUGGGGUGUGGAUGGGUCAGAGAAAAUUUCCCAGGGUAGGUAAUAUCUACAUUGCUUGAGUAACAGUUAUUCCUACGGUGUUACAGAGAGCCAUGACUACAAAAGCUCAGGGCUUAGAGAGAACCUGAGAGAUUCUGCCAACUUCAGAUACUUUUGCCUGGGUUGAAUGUGGAUGUGAAGGAGAGAAAAUUGGUGAGGAACACCUCAGGGAACACAUCAUGUACCAUAUUAAAGAGAUUGGAUUUAUCCUAAAAGCUACAGGGAGCUAACAAAGAAAGGCUGUAAUGGAGGACACUGAUGUGUUCUGAUUUGUGGCUCGCGCUGGUAACAAUAUCAAGAGUGGAUGCAGGGCAUGGGGAUGUGACAGUUGUUGUAUCAAUUAUUGCAGUAAAUGACAAGGGCCAGAAUUUAAACAAAUAUGAAAUGUCAGUAGGGAUAGAAUUUUUCUAUCAAAAAUAAUUAGGCUUUCCAACUAUGCUUAAUAAAUUUAAUAUGUUGAAUAGCUUGCAGAGAAUAAAAUGAGUGUGUAGUGGAUAUAAUGUGGAAGAUACAGAUCAAUAGUACACAUAUUUAUAAAGAUAUAUUCUCCUCAGUCCAAGAAUGAAUAUCAUUUUGGCCAAAAUCCAUUACCAAGCAGCUGUGUUACCCACAUUUAAUUCUGUGGGCUUUGCCUGUUUUAAUUUGAACAGCAGAACCUGUGAGGUAGGGGCUCUUAUUCCUCUUAUAAGAAACUGAGUUAUAUAGAGGUGUGUGAGUUUCCAAGGCUUCAUAGCAGAUUCUGGAAUGAAAACAUGUCUGUCUUCAGAGACAAUGGUUGUAAUAAUUAUGCAAUAUGCCCCAUCUUCUAAUUCAAAUAUUUGGAAUGCUCUGCCUACUACUACAGUUAAUUCCACACCAAAGCUGAAAUUACUUAUAGUAGGUAAGACUUCCAUGAGCUAAGUGAUUGAAUCCUGGCUUAUGUAAAGCCAUCAGGUAAUAGACACAGAUUUAGCUGCAGGUGCCAUGCUGCACAUUUGCAGCUUAAUGACCAAAGAGGGCUGAUGAGUAGUCAUGGUGGCAAUCAUUGCUACAAGGAAAGGAGAUGGAAAUGAGGACAGACUGCUGUGAUGGGAGACAGAGGUUGGAAGCACUAAUAUCAUCAAUAUUAAUGCCAGUUGCAAUGUGAGCUCAGUGCCAGGGAGGCUGGUGAAGUGGACACCCAUGAGAGGCUAAUAGCUACAUCUAAUCAUCAAAGGGCAGAUGUUAAAUGUGAUUCAGAGGAAAGUGAGAGGAAGUGCUAACAAUGGCACAGAUGAAGAGAUAGGCUGAUACACGUGGUGAAAAUUGUCUAACACAAGCAUUAUCUUGGAGGAAAGAAGAGCAGAAGGGAGGGGAAGUUAUUCCUCAAAAUCCAUAAUUUUUUUUAAUUAGUCCAAGCCAGGCGCAAGAAAAACAACAUAACAAAUAUUUAAACACAUUUACAAACCCCAAUAAUUAAACAAAAAGUCAAAGCAAGUGAUUUUUUUCAAAGGAAAUACUGUGGUGUUAUCAUGGAAAUAUGUCUUUUAAAACAUCUUUAUCGAGUGAAAAAAAGAAUAUAAAUAAAAAUGGCAAAAAAAUCUCAAUGCUGCCAUUCUUUUUGUGUGUGUAUCCACAUAUCUAGAGAUCAUCUUAUAUAGAGUGCCUCUUCUCAUCUCCUUUGAGCUUUUGUGUUUUGUUGCUAAGGGAUGUUGAUGAGGCUAGCAGGAAUUUAUCAUCAGUGUGUUGAAGUGGAAGAUAGUAGAUGUUGUUAAUCUGUAGAUUGUAGAGCUCUUCCUACAGUGCUUCAAUCAGUUUACCUGUUAACACAAAAGAUUCCUAUUUCAAAAAAUGCAAAACUGUACGUAAUAGUGUGCCUGAGAGCAUUCAAAUGUAUUUAACUUUGACCUUCCUCAUCACUUCCAAUUGAGUAAACAAUCUUCCAAUGCUGCUGACAGCACCACUCAGUAAUAUUACUGUAACUAGUACAAGUCAUAUUCCCAGGCCAAAAGUAAAAAUUUCUUAGGGUGUCUGAUCUGUAGUUGCAGCAGCUAGUGAAUUUCUACCAGAGAUAAAUAUUUUUAAAAGCAAAAUUGAAACAACCAUCUCAACUAUUCACAAUCCGACAGCCAAAAGCUAAAUUAUCCUCCAAAUUGGAGAGGAACUCUACCAAGACUGAAAAUAAAAAGUUAUGAAGACCUGGCUUAUAGUAAUGUUUAGCAUUAGAGCAAUUGUACUUUUUUAUACAACAAGAUACACAUCACAUUUACUUCAUAUAAAUAAGAAUAGAUGAGAUAUGUGAAGAAGCGAAGUAAAUUAUGGGAAAAAAUAUAAGAUGAUAGACUAUAAGGGUAAAACAGGUGCAUUAAUAUUAAAAGUAGUGAAGACAUAGAUGUGAGACUUUCAUAAACAAUAUGUUAUAUAUAAAACAAAACAGAAAUACUGGAAUGGUGGAAAGAAGAACAAGACUUCAGCAGCUUUAGAUCCUAGUAUUGCCCUCAACUUGCAUUAUCCACUCCUAUUCUUUAUAAAUCUCAAAAGAGCUUCUAAUUUAGUUAAGUUGAUUGCCUUCCAUAAAGGUUAUCUAUAUCCUCACCUAGAAGAGUGAAAGGAAUGAUGCAAGAAGUUAACAACUAUUUGUUGAGUUAAAGAAUUAAUGUAGCCUAAAACAGGUCUUUUGAUUCCUAUACUUACAACUUUGUUUCUAUAUUUCACCUUUUAAGUCGUCUUCUUUGAAUGUUACUCAAAUGAUUCCAGAUCCCUCUAAAAGUCCUUACCUAUGGUAAGACAUUUUUGGGCAGUUUUAGCCCCAAAUAAUUUACCUUGUAAAAUUAUAUUUAUUUUUGUUUCUAUUAAUGUAACAAAUUAUAUACUGUAUGAGAACAUUUUAAUGGUUAUUUUGUGGUACAUAUGUAUAGAGUCUUCAAUGUUUGUAUAUAAGUGCUAUGAUCUGAAAGUUUGUGUCCCCCCAGAAUUUACGUAUUGAAACCUAAUAUGAUGGUAUUAAAAGAUGGAACCUUUGGGAGGCGAUUAGGUCAUGUGUGUAGGACGAUUAUGAAUGGGAUUAACGCCCUUAUAAAAGAGACUCCAGAGAACUAGCUUGAACUUUUCAUGUGAGGAAACAGCAAGAAGGUACCAUCUUUAAACCAAAACAGGAAAGGGGCCUUCACCAGAAACAAAACUUGCUGGUGCCUUUAUCUUGGACUUUCCAGCCUCCAAAACUGUGACAAGUAAAUUUCUGUUUAUGAGUUACCAAGUCUAUGAUAUUUUGUUACAGCAGUUUAAACAAACUAGGACAAUUUAUGUAUAUCUAUUCAAUGUCAUGGUAAGUUUUUUGAAAGUCAAGAGCUCAUCACUAUAUAUUUGGUAUAUUUACUUAGUGCCCAGCAUAUUUUUGUGUCAUGAUAUGUGUACAGAAACAUUGAAAGAAUAAUGCAAUAACCAUUGAAACAAGGAUGGAAUUACAAAAAAAAAAAAAGAGAAAGAGCUCUGUGAAGACAAGUUCCAGACUCUUUUGCAUAUAUUACUUAAGGAAAUUAAAGAAAGUGAUUAUUAAAUAAUUUUUCUUCAAAUUAAGUUAGAAGAGAAAAUACUGAUAAUACUACAACUACAGAUUUGCUCAGCAAAGCAUUUACAAAGAUACUUUCCUAUAGUAAGAGAGAACUCUUUCUAAAAUUGGUGCUGUAAGCAGUUAAGUAAAUUAAACAAUAACCAAAACAUUCAAGUACUAUUUUAACUUGAUGCAUCAAAAAUUACAUUAGCUUGUAAACAAAUAAUAAAAAUAUUUUUGUAAAUUUUGCCUUUGUUUUUAUUUGAUAUAUCCAUUUCAACAGACAAAAUGCAUACAUUAGGUUUAACCCAAUAAAAUAAACUUGAAAGAAUGGUUGGUAAUAAACAAAGGAGGACAAAGAAAAUGAGAGAUGACAUCAUAAGAGAGUAACUGUGAACAAUAUCUUGAAAGUUGAAAAACACUGUCUUCAGUAGAACAAGGACAGCUGAAACAUAAAUGCUUACUAAAAGGGAUAGUUAUAAGAAACAAGCUGAAUCACCAUGUAUGACAUAAGAGAUGCUCAGGAUUGGACAACCUGUUGCUGUAGAAGAAUGAAAUAAACUUAAGAAUAUACCUUGAUUGAAACUCUGUGGAGCAGUUUGACUUCUGGCACGCCCACUGAUCUAGUGGCAGCUUAAGCCAUUCUAUUCUCCAAUCAUCAUAGAAAAUCUGAGUUUUUUUCCUUAUAGAAAUUUGUUCUGAGUUGAGAAUACUAGGCUGGUAAGAAGAGGCAUAGGGAUGACAUGGUAUUUCAGCAAGCUGAAGAGUAUAAGCCACAUCGUUUAUGAACCAAUUGACAUUAAGUUCCCAAUAUUCACUGUUAGACCAGCAAAAGCCUGGCUUACUUCCUCUUCCCAUUGCAGGAAGCUUAUCAUGCUCCAAGUACAUCCCACCACAAUCUGAGCUUGCAAGAAACUUUUAAAUUCUUCAUGAUGAGAUAUGAGUGGAGAGCAAUGAUUUUUAUACAUUUGGUGAGAAAACUAACAUCAAACAGAGUGACAAAAACAAUUGAAUUAAUAACAAGAAUAAUUAAUGGCAGGUCAAUGAGCUCAUUCCAAUUCAGUGUUUUACUUCUGGUGCUUACUAUAAGUAAUCCCAAGAAAGGGAAGCAACGAGACAGCAUUUAAGUUCUGAUACUAAGUGGUAAAGAUCUAACACCACUAAAGCUCACUUGCAAAAAUUAGAAGAGGUGGCUGUCUCCUCAAAUACAUAGGCAUCAUUGUAAAGAUGCAAGAAUCUUGAAAACUCAGAGAAAUUUAACAUAACCAAAAAAAAAAAAAAAAGAAAGAAAGAAAGAAAAAAAAAAAAAAACAAUGCUCCAGCAAUGAAUCCAGAAUUCAGGAUCUCUGAAAUGUCUGACAGAUAAUUCAGAAGAAGUUCAGAGAAUCACAAGAAAAUACGUAUAAAAAACUAAAUAAAAUUUGGAAAACAAUACAGAAACAAAAGAUAAUUGAGAAAGAAAUAGAAACAAUUAAAAAAGGAAAUCCUAGAAAUGAGUAAUUUAAUAACUGGACACAAACUCAUUAGAAAUUUUCAACAUCAAACUUGAUCAAACAGCAAAAGAAUAAGCAAGCUUAAUGACAGAACAUAUGAAAUUACCCAAUCAGAGGAGAAAAAAAAGAAAAGAAUAAAAAAGAGUGAAGAAGGCCUAUGAGGAUUAUAGGACACAUCAAUAAAUUAAUAUCCACCUACUAUGAAUUCCUGAAGGAGGUGAGAGAGAAAAAGGCCUUGAAAGCAAUUUUAAGAUAAAUAGUGACUGAAAAUUUUCCAAAUCUGGAGAAAGAUGACAGCAUUCAAACACAGGAGCCUCAGAGGACACCCAUGAAAUUCAACCCAAAGAGGAAUUUCCCAAACACGUCAUAAUCAAAUUAGUUUAAAAAAAUAAGAAUUCUCAAGGCAUCUAGAGGAAAGAAACAUAUCACAUUCAUCGCAGCCCAAAUAGGGCUUUCAACAAAUUACUCAGUAGAAACCUUGUGUGUCAGAAGAAAGUGGGAUGCUAUAUGCAAAGUGCUAAAGAAAGAAAAAAAAAGUGCCAAUCAAGGAUAUUGUACACAGCAAAGCUAAUGCUCAAAUAAAAAAGAGAAAUAAAGACUUUCCUUUCUCAGAUAAACAAAAGCUGAGGGAAUUUAUCAACAGUAGGCCUGUAUUACAAAAAAGUAUUAAAAGGAGUUAUUUAAUCUGAGAGAAAUAAUAAUGGACACUAACAUGUAACAAAGAAACAUCUAAAGGUAUUAAACUCACUGGUGAAAAAAUAAAACAAAUUCAGAAUAGUUUAAUACCUUAAUUGGUGUAAAUAAAUCACUUGCAUUUAAGUAUAAAGAAUAAAAGAUAAAACUAUUCAAAAGAAUAGUAACUACAACAAUUGGUUAAGAGAUAAGUCAUAUAAAAAGGUAUAAAAUGAAACAUCAAAAAGAAAAAAAUGUGGUGCUAACCUGAAGAAUUUCUUUUCGUUGCUUUUAUUUGUGAUUAAAGUUAAGUCAUUAUCAGUUUAAAAACUAAUUAUAAGAUUUUUUUUUGUAAUUCUCAUGGUAACCACAAAGCAAAAACCUGUAAUAGAUAUACUAAAAAUAAAUAGCAUAGAAUGCAAACAUGCUAAUAGACAAAAUCACUUAACCACAAGAGAGGUAAAAAGGAAGAAAUGAUUUGCAAAAUAACCAGAAAACAAAUAACAAAAUAUAAACAGUAAACCUUUAUCUAGCAAUAAUAACCUUGAAUAUAAAUGAAUUCAACUCUACAAUUAAAAGUGAUAGAGUGGCUAAAUGGAUUUUAGAAAGACUCAAGUAUAUACUGUGUACAAGAGACUCACUUCAUUUAUAAAGAUACUCACACACCGAAAAUAAGAGGUGGAAAAAUAUAUGCCAGGAAAAUCAAAGACAAAGAAAAGUAAGAGUAGCUAUACUUAGACAAGAUAGACUUUAAGUCAAGAAUAGUUAAAAACAAAAAGGCACAGAAGACCAUUAUGCAAUGAUAAAGAGGUCGAUAGAGAAAGAAGAUAUAACAAUUGUAAAUAUAUAUGCAUCCAAACACAAGAAUAUGCAAAUACAUAAAACAAAUAUUAACAGACCUAAAAGGAGAAAUUGGCUGUAAUAUAAUAAUGGUAGAAAAGUUCAACACCCCACUUUAAGCAAUGAACAGAUUAUUCAGCAGAAUUUUUAUUUAAAAUUGAAUUUAAACUUCUCUCUAGACCAAAUGAACCUAACAGAUAUUUAUAUAACAUUCCAUCCAACAGCUGCCCAAUACACAAUUUUCACAACAGCUUAUAAAACAUUCUCCAAAAUAGAACAUAUGUUAGGUUACAAAACAAGUCUGAACAAAUUUUUAAAAAUGGAAAUCAUAUCAAGUAUAUUCUCUGACCACAAUGGAAUAAAGUUUGAAAUCACAACAGAAGGAACAUUGGAAACCAUACAAAUUUAUGGAAAUUAAACAGUAUGUUCCUGAACAAUGAGUAAGUCAAAGAAAAAAUUAAAAACAAAAUUUAAAAAUUCCCUGAGACAAAUGAAAAUGGAAACACUCUUACCAAAACCAAUGGGAUACAGCAAAAGCAGUUCUAAAUGAGAAGUUGGUAACUAUAAGCACCUACAUAAAAAAGUAGAAAGACUUCAAAUAAAAAACCUAAUGAUGUACCUCACAAAACUAGAAAGCAAAAACAAGCCAAACCAAAAUUAGUAGAAGGAAAGAAAUAAUAAAAAUCAGAGCAGAAAUAAAUGAAAUUGAGACCAAAAAUGCAAAAGAUCAACAAAACAAAAAAGUUGUUUUUUUAAAAAAACAAAAUUGGCAAACAAUUUACCAGAUUCAGAAAAAGAGAAAAGACCCAAAUAAAUAAAAUCAGAGACCAAAAGGAGAUUUAAAAGUGAUGCCACAGAAUUACAAAAGAUUAUCACAAAUAUAAAAAAAAAAUGCCUACAAAUCAUAAAACCUAGAAGAAAUGGAUACAUUUCUGGACUCACACGACCUACCAAAAUUGUACCAAGAAGAAACAGAAAACCUUAACAGACCAAUAAUGAGUAAUGAGAUUGAAGCACUAAUAAAAAGUUUCCCAUUAAAGAAAAGCACAAGACCUGAUGGCUUUACUGCUUAAUUCUAUCAAACAUUAAAAAAAUACUAAUACCAUUUCUUCUCACACUUGUCCAAAAAACUGAAGAGGAGAGAAUACUUCCUAAUUAAUUACACAAGGUCAGGGUUAUCAUAAUACCCAAACCAGGCAGGAACUCAGCAACGACAAAAGCUACAGGGUAGUAUUUACGAUGAGCAUAGAUGAAAAAUUAUACACAAAAUACCAGCACACCGAAUUCAACAACACAUUAAAAAUCAUUCAUUAUGAUCAAGUAGGAUUCAUCCCAGGGAUGCAAGGAUGGUUCAACAUAUACAAAUCAAUAAACAAAACACAUCACAUUAACAUAUCAGUGCAAUGCAAAUCGAAACCGCAAUGAGAUAGCAUCUUGCCCCAAUUAAAAUGGAUGUUAUAAAAAAGUCCAAAAGUAGCAAAUGCUGGUGAGGGUGCAGAGAAAGGGAAACACUAGUAUUUUAUGACUGACAAUGUAUAAUAAAUUAGUAUAGUUACUGUGAAAAACAAUUUCGAGCUUCCUCAAAAAACUAAAAAUGGAACUAUCAGACAGGUGUAGUGUUGCACAACUGUAGUUCCUGCUGCUCAGAAGACUAAGGCAGGAGGAAGGCUUGAGCCCAGGAGUUUGAGGAUGCAGUGAGUUAUGAUCACAUGACAGCACACCAGCCUGGAUGACAGAGUGAGUCCCUGUUUCUACAAAAGACAUUAAAAAUAAAUAAAUGAAAGUAGAACUACAAUAUAAUCCAGAAUUCCACCACUAGGUAUAUAACCAAAAGAAAAGCAAUUAGUAUAUGUUGAAUACGUGUGCUUGUUUAUUGCAGCAUCAUUCACAGUAGCCAAGAUACGGAAUCAAACUGUUUAUCAAUUGAUAAACAGAUUUUGUAAUAUACAUAAUGGAAUAUUAUUCAGCCAUAAAAAAUGAAAUUUUGUCAUUUGCAGCAACAUGGAUGAAAUUAGAGGACACUAUGUUUAGUGAAAUAAACCAUGCACAUUAAUAACAAAUAUCACACAUUCUCACUCAGAUGUGAAAGCUCAGAUGUUGCUCUCAUGGUGGUAGAGAGUAAGAUGAUGGUUACCAGAGGCUGUGAAGUACUGAGGAAGGGGGGAUAAAAUGAAGCUGGGUAAUCAACACAAAAAUACAGUUAGAUAGAAAAAGUAAGUUCUAGUCUUUGCUAGUGCAGUUGAGUGACCGUAGUUAGCAAUAAUUUAUUGUACAUUUCAAAAUAGCUAAAUAAUAAUAUUUGAAAUAUUCCCAAUACAAAGGAGUGGCAAAUAUUUGAAGCAAUAUUACUGACAGAUACUGAUAUUUAUCCUAAUUACUCUUGAUUUAAUCAUUAUAUGUUGUAUACUUGCCUCAAAUUACUACAUGUACCCCAUAAAUAUGUACAAUUAUUAUUAUUAAUAAAAAAGAAUUACAGCUAGAAUAAGUUUAAACACAUCAAAUAUGGUAAUUUUUUUUGCUUUUAUAAUAAUACUAAACAACAUCAAACAAUGAUUUUAAAAGUAUUCUCUUUGAUUAAACUUUGAGGAUGUUUGGGAAACAACUCACUAUUUUGAAAACUAAUAAAUAAGGGAAUAUUAAACAUUCCAUUAUUUCCUAUACAAACUAUGCCUCAGGGUCAGCAAAUAGUUGAUGAUAAUUUUUUUUCUUUAUGAAAGUUUUCCAGCUAAAUUAUGGAAAAGAAAAUACAUAAUGGAAACAGUACAGAAGAGAGGGACAUAUUUUAAAUGACAUCAUAUGGAUUUAACUGAAACCUGAAGCAUCAGAAUUGAAAUCUAAAGCAUCAGAAAUCAUAGUAGGAGACAAAUCAACUAAUUUGCUCAUCAAGUAUUUUCUGAAAAGGUGGAUUGCUGCUUCAAAGGACCUGGACCCAGAGGCCCUGUCCAUGAAUGUUUCUUGCUUGGUUCCGAGGCCACCAAACAUACUGGCUGAGCCUUCUGUAUUCACCCUGGCCUAUCAAUGCCAUCUAUGAGAGCAGCCACACUGAGAGAGCAGCAGCAUGGAGCCUACUCAAGGGUUGGACCGACUGUGACAUUUGGGGAAGCCCCACAGAACAGGAUGGGAUCUUUUAUGAAGAAAUGGAUUGGGAAGAAAAACAUAAGAUAAGGUUGGAACCUCUUCUGGUGCAAGAAGGUCCUAAAUAUUACUGAGGAUCUCUCAUCUUCUAGGUGAAGCUCACAAAAUUGCCCUGGAGGUUGCUGCCUUCCUGGAAGCCAGAGUGAAAAAAAAAAAGAGGACAUGCAGUUGCACAUGGGAGGAUUUUGUGGGCCAUGGUUAUCAGGGCACAAUCCCUUAGCUCACCUUUCUCUGGUGAGAAAACACUUCCAGUGCCACACCUCAGUCUCCUCCCUCUGGUGAAAAAAACACUUCCAGUGCCACACCUCAGCCUCCUUCCUCUGGUGAAAAAACAGUUCCAGUGCCAUACCUCAGCCUUUCCUCUGGUAAAAAACACUUCCAGUGCCACACCUCAGCCUCCCUCCUCUGGUGAAAAAACACUUCCAGUGCUACACCUCAGCCUCCUUCCUCUGGUGAAAAAAUACUUCCAGAGCCACACCUUACCCUCCUUCCUCUGGUGAGAAACUACUUCCAGUGCCACACCUCAGCCUCCUUCCUCUGGUGACAAAACACUUCCAGUGCCACAACUCAGCCUCCUUCGACUGGUGAGAAAACACUUCCAGUGCCACACCUCAGCCUCCUUCCUCUGCUGAGAAAACACUUCCAGUGCCACAGCUCAGCCUCCUUCCUCUGGUCACAAAACACUUCCAGUACUACACAUCACUGCUGGAGAACUGGAGAGUGGAGUCUUCCAGCCCAAGAAGAAAGAAAUAUAGGAUUUUGUCAAGUACCAGAAGUUUCUGCCACACUCAGUGGGCAUUCUUUGAGUUAGUUUUUUUAGUAUAUUUCACUAAAAACUGUGAGAGAGGAACCCUUAAUAUAGGUCCUGCAAAAAACAAGUAUUCAAUAAAUCCUGUUGAAUCAAUAAAUGAAUCACCUCUUCCAAAAUAAGCUUAAUUGUUUAAGUUACUAGCAAAAUGCCUAAAUGAAAAUUAACCAUUCUAUAGAGACAUUAUUGAGUUAGUUCAUUCAGCCAUUCAAUAAAUGUAUUCAGUGUAUGUUUAUAGAAUAACUAUAAUUUACCAACUGUUUUAGGCAUGGGGGGUACAGCAGUGAAUAAAAUCAUCCAACUACCUAUUCUAACAGAGAUUAAAUUCUAGUGGUACAAGCAGCAGACGAACAAAUGAAUAAUUUCAUAUAUUCAUCCAUGCAAUAAUAUUGAAAAUUUUAUUUUCAAUAAAUAAUCAGUGGUCCUCAACCUUUUCGGCAUCAGGGAACAAUUUUGUGGAAAACAAUUUUUCUACAAACGGGUGGGAGAAUGGUUUCAGGAUGAUUCAAGCACAUUACCUUUAUUGUGCACUUUAUUUCUAUUAUUACUGCAUUGUAAUAUAUAAUGAAAUAAUUAUACAACUCAUCAUAAUGUAGAAUCAGUGGGAGCCCUGAGCUUGUUUUCCUGCAACUAGACAGUUCCAUCUGGGGGGAAUGAGAGACAGUGACAGAUCAUCAGGUAUUAGAUUCUCAUAAGGAGCAUGCAACCUAGAUCCUUUGCAUGUGCAGUUCACAACAGGAUUCAUGCUUCUAUGAGAAUCUAAUGCCACCACUGAUCUGACAAGAGGUGGAGCUCAGGAGGCAAAGCUCACUCACCUCCUGCUGGGCUACUUGGUUCCUAACAGGCCAUGGACCAGUACUGGUCCAUGACCUGAGGGUUGGGGACCACUGACUUAGAUUCUAGUGGAAAAAGAUGGGCUGUAAACAAACUAUGUAAGAAAAUAAUACAAGCAUAUUAGUGGGCCAGCUGUAGCAUGGUGGGAAAACAGGGCCAUGAGGAAAUGAACAAGCCCAUUUUACCAGCUGGGGUCAGGAAUAAUAAUGAUGUGGAGUCCCUUGAGUAUGGGGGAGCUACAGAAAGCAGAAACUGAACCAGGCUCUGGCCAGGGGACCCAUGUGCUGCGGCAGUGCUAGGAACCUGCACAACUCAGCCCAUAGCCCAGUUGAAUUAGCCCAUGCUGGCACCCACAUCUUGCUUGGGCACUGUCUCACGGUUUGACACUGGAGAUGGGUAUGAAGCCCUCUACUGGAUUAAUAAAACAAAUAAUACCUUUGUUCACAAGAUGAUCUUAAGAAGAACAGCAGAUGAGGACCCUGUAAAAUUUUAUUUUCCAGCAGAGAGGGUACAGAAGCUGAUUUUGUGAUUGAUUGGAAUGGGACAGCAGUGAGGAGCCACCAUUUUGCUCACAGAUGAAAGAUCACCCAUUGUAAGAGGCUGCCUGAAGAGAAAACAAGAUCCCGGUAGAAGACACAAAACUUCCACGUCAGAGACAAAGGAUUUCAUUACUCAUGGCAAAAGCAGGAAUCAGAGCUUCACAUUUGCUGGUGUCAAUUUCUCAUACCCUCAAAUCCCAGAAGCAUGACACAAAAGAGUCCAUGAUGGAUGUCUGAAUACACAGUGGGCUGUGUUAGAAGAGAGUAACACUGAGCUCAGGUGAUCUCUGCUUCUGUAGUAAGCUUGCACUUUGUCUCGGGGGAGACAUUCCCUCAUCACUCAAGACUGUUCCCUGCAAACACAACCUUGAAUAAUGGCCCAGAAGAGUGGUGAGAGUUCUAAAUUCCUGGCACUUCCAGCAAGUAUGCUCAGGAACACCAGGGCCCAAAGUGGAUUGCCUCUUCCUAAAAAUAUGUUUAUGACUGAAGCCCUUUCCUUUAAAAUGUUAGGUGAAUAUGGAUCUUUUAUUUGCUGUCCUAUUUCAUUUUCAAUAAUUCUGAGUAUGACUCACCAAAAUGAUUUCACAAAAUAAUCUGUAGUAACCUUCAAUUUAAACAACAAACAAAUAAAAAAAAUUGCUAUGUUAAGUAUAUAUUUGAGAGUGUAAUUGCAGAAUUACAUUCUUCCUUAACAUACAAUGUGAAUGGUUUUAUAAAGUGAUUUGUCAGUUAUUUAUCAUUUGCUUUUCACAAGCGGUGUAUGAAUAUUCCCCUUGCCAUAUGUCUCCACCACCACUUGGUUUUGUCAGACAUUUAUUGUUUGAUAAUCAAAUACUGCAUAAUUAUAUCUGAUUUGGUUGUAAUUUGCAUUUUACUUAUUAUUAAUGAGGUUUAGCAUUGCCAUAUGUGUAUAAGUCAUUUGUUUUUCAUUGUCUGUUAAAUGUCUGCAUAUGACUUUGGCCCGUUUUAAAAUUGAGAUAUUUCUUUCUUUUAGAUUGAUACAUGAAUUAUUUACAUUUGUGAGUUAUGAAUAUUGUCAAUAACGUCUCACUGUAGAUCAAUUUUUCACUGAAUUUCUGGUAUCAUUUUAUAAAUUAAAUUUAUUUUAAUGUUUCAAGUAUUCUAUUUUAAACUGAUAUUUUAUGGUAUUUGUCAUGUAUAAGAACUCAUUCUAGAUCAUUAGUCAUAAAGAUAUUCAUCUAAAUUUUCUUCAAAACUGUUAAAUGUCUUUAACAUUUAAGUCCUAAAUACAUCUGAACUGGUCCAAUAAUCCAAAUGAAUCAAAUAUCUAAGAAAAACUGUAACAAAGGAAGAGACAAAUCUAUAGAGAGUACAUUAUAAAACAUUCUUGAGGGAGAAUCAAUAUGAACCUAAAUUAAUAGAAAACUAUUUAUGGAGGGAAAGACAGUAUGUAAAGAAGCAAAUUAUCUUCAAUUCAUCUGUAAAUUUACUGCAAUCUCAAUAAAAAGUCAAGUAGAAGCUUUUUUGUUGAAAUUGAUAAGCCAAUAAUAAAUUGUAAAUAUUCAAAGAUCUAAUGAUAGCUAAUGCAAUAUUGAAGAUAAACUGAAAUUUUGGAGAAUCAAGACUUAUUUGAGGAUUGCAGUAAUGAAGACAGUGAUUAAUUGUGCAAGAAUAGACAAACCAUCCAAGAAAACAAAAUAGAGAGCUGAAAAGCAGACCCAGGCUUAUAUUGAUCAGUGAUAUAGGUGGCAUAACAGGAGGGUGACAAAAAGACAGUUAUUUCCAUAAAUUGUACUUCAUCAAUUGUAUAUCUGAGAGAGAGAGAAAGAGAGAGAAAUUGUUUUUAUUCAUAGUAUAAUAUAUAAUUGCUUCUAUUCAUAGAGAGAAAGACAGAGAGAUAACUGUUUCUAUUCAUAGUAUAAGCAUCUUAAUUUCAGGUGGUUUUUAGAUUUUUAUGUGAAAGUUAAAAAUAGUAAAUCCUAAGAGAGGAUAAUAUAGAGGACGUUUUCACCACAUGGGGUAUAUAAAGAUUAAUAAAACUGGACACAAAGUCUCUGAUUAUAAAAAAAAUUGACAAAUAUUUUGACUGUAAGAGAUUAUAUUAAUAAAUACACAAUACAAUUUUAAGAGAAAUGAAAUGAGAAAUGAAAAGAGCAGCAGUAGAGUGGGAUGUCAAAGUACAUAUGACUGACAAAAAAUUACAAAAUCAAGACUAAAAUGGCAUACCACUAGAGCAGCUAUAAAUACAAAGAGUAAAAAUGCUCUUCUGUUUGGAGGACGUGAAGCAUGUUCUUGGGCACUGAUUACGUGAGUAGGUAGCUUUUCCUGAUUAUAUCCUCUGCAGAGUUUUCAUAGUGUAUCAUGUCUAGAUCACAACUGGAAAGAUCUAUGGCAAAUUCAUCAUCUGUCAAUGAGCGCAACCAAUAUUUGUUACAAUUUUACCAUGUUUAAUUGUGAAAGAGUUCUUAGAGCAUCAAAACACAUAUCCAGAAAUACUAUCCUCAAGUACCAGGCAAUAUUUAUUUUUUUUCAGUUACUUUUCUGCCCUAUAUUUAUCACUAAGCUCAUAUGAACUUUUAAUUUUUUAAAAAAACCUUUAGGUGUCUGUUUUACUCAUUCCAGAGAGAAGGAACUUAUUGGCACAUGACUGAUUUAUUAAAUACACUCAAUAAAAGUUGGCAUUUUUACAGUCAGCAAGCUCAAUAAAGUUCACAAAUAAAUCUUCUAUAGUUCUCAUAUUUACAUAUUUCUCAUAUUACUCUUUACCUAGGUAUCUAUCAACUUUGAAAGAUCCAAAAAUAGAACAUGAGGGCCAUAAUUGUCUGGAAAUGAGGAGAGGGUAUAUUUCUUUGUGAGAAUUUUUUGUGUAAAUGAGUAAGUUAAGAUGAUAUUAUAAAACCAAUUAUUAUAAAAUUCCUGAGGAUAUCCUCUAUAGCAUGUACUUUGGCAUUGAUUAUCUAUAUGAGUAGGUAGCUUUUCCUGAUUACAUCCUUUAUAAAGUUUUCAUAGCAUAUCAUAGCUAUGAAAAUAUUUUUCAGAAAAAGAUAAACCACACAGGAAUAAAUGAUAAAGUGAAUGAUAACUUUUCAGUUAAAAAAAGAACUAAAUGUACAAUGAAAUUUGGGACUAAAUAAAUGGCACUUCUGCACAAUUCAGAUCUUUUUCCCCCUUAUGCUGAGCCUACUUUGUUGUUUUGCAUAACCUACAACAUGUAGACAUCUCAGUUAGAGACCUCUAUCCCAUACCCUUUUUCCCCAAAAGUUCUUUCCUUUCAUCAGUGAUGGCUGAGUCGAUUCUUAGACUAGUUCCAAUGUAUUCCCUUGAUGUAAUCAUCAGAUCUGUCUCCCCUCAGCACCUUGUUUGGGGAUGCUUCUCAUUCUCUAUGCCUAGGUACAAUUUCAAAUCCAGAGUUGGAGCUGUCAUCUUCAUAAAUUCUCCUUAGAUUAUAGGAGUUCACAAAAUCUUGUCAUUUCUGUGUACUCUUCUCGGUCUUAAGAAAUGUUUCUCCUGGAAUAACCUGUGGUCACCCUCUGAUAGGUAUGUUCUGUUAUUAUGUUUUUGUGUAAAUUUUGUCAAGCUAAUGUAACUGUGAUUUUAUUUCACAUGAUCUAUAGGGCCUUACACAAACCUGAACCUAAUAAAGACAUGUGGGACAUAAUCUCAAAAUGAUAUCACUGAAACUCAUUUCCAACCCAAUUAAACUGUUCUCCUAGGGUUGGUUGACAGUCCAGAAUUAUUAGGCUUCUCAGUGGAGCCAGAACAAUCUGUCCAGUGAUACUUGAUCCGAUCAAGUGUUUUCAUGGGUGGUUUGGAAACCAUGUCUUGCUUUGCAGAUGUUAUUUAUCACAAAGUUGCCCCUAGCCCUUUAAUGUUGAGGAUUUGAUAUUAGUGGAGUUGUGGAAGUGAAAUUAUUAGGGUGUCCUUAAAGUCCUUUUCCAUAAAUGAAUGAUUUAUUGGAGCAAUGAAAGAAAGGAAUAAGUUUGCCUGCUCAAUAUAGCCCGUCAUUUUUGAUGAAUGUGACUCACCUUUCUGUAAGAAGUUCAAUUUAGCACUGGUACCAAUUCUUGAAUUUUAUAGAGAAGGAAAUUGUAAAAUGUCUUAGAAAUGUGGCCACGGAGAGAACAAACUGAGGUUGAAUGAUGCAAAAUCAGAACUACACUGAAUGCAACGUAAUGCCAAUGCUGUUCAAUGCCAAGAGACUUACAGGAUAAAAUUUGGCUUUUUCCUUUUGAAAUAAUAUUAGCUUGCUAUUGAGUAAAAUCAGGUAGCAACACUUCAUAACUCCAUUACCUACCUGUUUUGUAUUCAUUAAAGUGUGGCUUUCUUGGCCUGACUGUCAGUGGUAUGCUGAGAUGGCUUGCCACAGCUCCAGAGUGCAUUGUAUAUAUUUCUUCUUGACUUCACGUUAAGUGACAUUAUGUUGGUAGCUUGGAAUUGGUCAUGAUGAAGCUAUAUAUACCAGGAAAACUGGCACAUGCUGCAAAUGAAGGCUCCUGCUCUUCCAGAGAUCUAACUGUUAAGUAUUUAUCAGCAUACUACUAACCUGUGUUCAAAGGUUGAACUGCAGAAGCCUCU